GUCGGAACGUGCCCAGAGGACGGGGAUAGCGGCGGGAAACUGCCGGUAAUACCCGAUGAUCUCGAGAGAGCAAAGGUGUGAUUCCGCCUUUGGAGCGGCCGACGUGGUAUUAGCUAGUUGGUGAGGUAAUGGCCCACCAAGGCUGUGAUGCCUAGGGGAUGUGAGAGCAUGAUCCCCACCAUUGGGACUGAGACACUGCCCAGACACCUACGGGUGGCUGCAGUCGAGAAUCUUCGUCAAUGGGCGAAAGCCUGAACGAGCGACGCCGCGUGCGGGAUGAAGGCCCUUGGGUCGUAAACCGCUGUCGAGGGGGAUGAAGGUCAAAGGGUACUCCUUUUGAUUUGACAGAGCCCAGAAGGAAGCACGGGCUAAGUUCGUGCCAGCAGCCGCGGUAAUACGAACUGUGCGAACGUUAUUCGGAAUCACUGGGCUUACAGGGUGCGUAGGCGGCCUUUCAAGUCAGGUGUGAAAGCCCUCGGCUCAACCGAGGAACUGCGCUUGAAACUGAAGGGCUC
rnacentral:rRNA from 1 species